rnacentral:tRNA from 1 species
GGCUCAGUGGUAGAGUGCUUGCCUUGUAUGCAUGAGGUCCUGGGUUCGAUUCCUCAG